UUGACGGGAGCCACUUUACUUUCCCCAUUCUGUAGUCUUCUUGACUUCUCCGUUCUUAAUUUCCCUUGCCCAUUCUUUUGCACAGUGAGAGUGUUCAUCUUCUCCAAUCCCCAUCUCAUUUCCUUAUUCUCCCUGCUCCCUCAAAAAUUGCAGCUGCCGGAAGGCUCCCAUCAGCUUGCUUUCUUGGUUCGCUGCACUGAGGCUGCUCGUCCUCACCUCAAGCCACCCCCAUGGUUGGUUCCGCCACAGGUUUACCAUCGACGGCGGCUCGUUUGGCUCCUUGUAGGCCUCAUUGGUCUCCUCUCCUAAGAUGGGAAGGAUCAGCUGCGCCAGGGAGGAGGCGAGCUCAUCAAUCUGCACGGUGUUGUUACUGUUGGCGUGCGUGUAGUUGAUUUGGUCGUUGAUUUAAUCUUCCGCUCCCGCAGGCCCGUAACCCUCUUGGAUCCAGCUUUAUAUGAGGAUGCUGGCGACGUUUCCCCAAGCGCGCAAAUGGCAAUUCAGACACAUCGUCUCUGUUUUCGCUCGUAGCAGCUCGGCAACAUUCUUCGAAGUUCGACCUCAGAUGGUGCUUACUGUAGGUGAUCUGAUUUCUCGACGGAGCCAGCUUAUGCCCGUGGAGGAGACAAUGCCGAAGUGCCACUGGUUGGAGGUAGUUUACCUUGAAGUGUUGUUCGCUGAGGCAGAUGAUUUAGAAUUUGUACUCUAAAAUCUAGAGGACAAUGAACCUUUCAGUUGGUCGAAGCAUUGCGUGGGGAAGGUAUUAUAGGGAUGGUUGAGUUUAUGACCUCUGCAGGGUGGCAAGAGAGCUUGUUUGGAUGUCGAGAGGUUUUUUGUUUGCGAACGUGAGAUUUUGGUUCUCUCUGGACUCUGUACAUUAUUGUAUAGUUUGGAUUUGGAUUUCUUUGGAGA